ACUGGGCUGUUUACAAUCCAGUGGUGUGUUGCAGAGAGUGGGUGGCCUGAAACACUCCACUGUGCCUGGUCUCAUCACAACAUCAUUUCAGAUUGAAAUGUUGGCUGUUAACUUACUGGAAGUAGUAAAGCAACUUGGCGGAAAAGAUACCAUGUGUACGUCGUUGAAGAAGCUUGACAUAUCAGAGCAGGAUGAUUACGCAUCCCUUAAAUGUCAGUGUGGGCGUCACAUCAUAGCCCCAUGUGUUUGGAAGGAUAUAAACAACUGAGCCAGAGGUUGUGAUGUAAUGUGUGUGACUGAUCCCAUGCUCAUAACAGGAGACGAUUCCGAGGAAGCCCAGCAGGCUGACCUCAUUCAUGGGCAGGCUGGUGUUGGACCACGCUGUGUCCAGGCGGCCCCCGGCACAGCACUCCUCUCUGGUCACCCCUCUCAUCAGCACCAUGUCGCACCUUUGGUCUUGACUCUGCUGCAGCCAGCACAUCCCAGCUGGAGAUAGUAGCAUAAAGUAAAGUUAAUUUACGCAUAUACAAUAAAAAAUGUUUUGUAUCAUUUUUUAUUUUGUCAAUUGGACUUCUUCUAGUCAAUAUCCAUUAUAUGAAUGGCUGAUUUUAAAACUGCAGUAUAAUAAAGGCUAAUAUAGCACCUG